CCUACGGGAGGCAGCAGUGGGGAAUAUUGCACAAUGGGGGAAACCCUGAUGCAGCAACGCCGCGUGAGGGAUGAAGGUCUUCGGGUUGUAAAGCUCUGUCAUCGGGGACGAUAAUGACGGUACCUGCGGAGGAAGCCACGGCUAACUACGUGCCAGCAGCCGCGGUAAUACGUAGGUGGCGAGCGUUGUCCGGAUUUACUGGGUGUAAAGGGAGCGUAGGCGGGCUUUUAAGUGAGAUGUGAAAUACUCGGGCUCAACUUGAGUGCUGCAUUUCAAACUGGAAGUCUUGAGUGCAGUAGAGGCGAACGGAAUUCCUAGUGUAGCGGUGAAAUGCGUAGAUAUUAGGAGGAACACCAGUGGCGAAGGCGAUUCUCUGGACUGUAACUGACGCUGAGGCUCGAAAGCGUGGGGAGCAAACAGGAUUAGAUACCCCAGUAGUC
rnacentral:rRNA from 1 species